CCAUCUUUUUACAUUUUCGGAACAAAAUAUUCUUAAAUAAUAAAAUAACCCUACUCAAAAAGGUUUUUUUUUUUUUUUGGGUAUAUAUAAAUAGAGAUAAAUGGGAAUUAAAAAAAAAAAAAAAAAAACAAAUCUUAAAGCUUCUGACCUUUCGCCGUUCAUCUCUGCUUCGUUGUUCUUCUCUCCUUCGUCUUUGCUGCUUAUCCUUUUCACACAGUCUUCUCACAAGCUAACCCAUCGUCGUCCAAUCACGAGCCUUUGUUGCUCAAUUGAGAACCACCCAGAGCCUUUUCACAAUAUCAUCGUCGUCCUCACCGUCACUCCCACUCAGAGGCAAUCUCGCACUGCGAUUGUCCUCGCACCACCGUCGUCCUCACCACUCUAUUGCUUAUUGCUUUGCAAUGUCAGCAGUAAGCCUUAGCAGCUCAGCUUAACUAAAAAGGAUGCCAGCUCAGCUUAACAACUUGCUAUUUUACAUUGUGUUCCCGUGUUUCUUGUUACUUGUAAAAAACAGUUAUAACAUAUGUAUAAAUAGUUGUUUAGGUGUGAAAAACUUGUUAUGUAAGCAAACUUUACAAUAAUAUACAGACGAAAAUUUUCUCUCAAA